AGGGGAGUAGCUCAACGGUAGAGUCGCGGUCUCCAAAACCGUCGGUUGCGUGUUCGAAUCGCGUCUCCCCUGCCA
rnacentral:tRNA from 1 species